rnacentral:rRNA from 1 species
UACGUAGGGUGCAAGCGUUAAUCGGAAUUACUGGGCGUAAAGCGUGCGCAGGCGGUUUUGUAAGUCUGUCGUGAAAUCCCCGGGCUCAACCUGGGAAUUGCGAUGGAGACUGCAAGGCUAGAAUCUGGCAGAGGGGGGGUAGAAUUCCACGUGUAGCAGUGAAAUGCGCAGAUAUCAGGAGGAACACCGAUUGCGAAGGCAGCUCGCUGGGACGUAACUGACGCUGGAGAACGCGAAAGCGUGGGGAGCAAACAGG